AUACGUAGGGAGCGAGCGUUGUCCGGAAUUACUGGGUGUAAAGGGAGCGUAGGCGGGAGUGCAAGUCAGAUGGGAAAUACAUGGGCUCAACCCAUGGGCUGCAUUUGAAACUGCAUUUCUUGAGUGAAGUAGAGGUAAGCGGAAUUCCUGGUGUAGCGGUGAAAUGCGUAGAUAUCAGGAGGAACACCGGUGGCGAAGGCGGCUUACUGGGCUUUUACUGACGCUGAGGCUCGAAAGCGUGGGGAGCAAACAGGAUUAGAUACCCUGGUAGUCCACGCUGUAAACGAUGAUUACUAGGUGUGGGGGGACUGACCCCUUCCGUGCCGCAGUUAACACAAUAAGUAAUCCACCUGGGGAGUACGGCCGCAAGGUUGAAACUCAAAUGAAUUGACGGGG
rnacentral:rRNA from 1 species